UGCACAUAAUUACAGUUUGUACUGUGUA
rnacentral:piRNA from 1 species